rnacentral:lncRNA from 1 species
GUCAUUGGACUGCCGCAGAUGAAGUCAAAUGUGAUCAAACUUGGACAUCAGUCGUAAAUCUUGAAGAAACGGAACAUAAUCCCAGAUUUUCUAAAGAAGCGCUUUUAUCAUGUGUGAUCCAGAGGUCGGUCUCGGGUGGGCAUAAGAUCCGUGGGCCCUAUUGUCGGAUAUGUGACUCAAGAAAGUCAUUGGACUGCCGCAGAUGAAGUCAAAUGUGAUCAAACUUGGACAUCAACGUAAAUCUUGAAGAAACAGAACAUAAUCCCAGAUUGUCUAAAGAAGCGCUUUUAUCAUGUGUGAUCCAAAGAAGACGUAUCGGGUGUGUUGUAGCUUGGAAAGAUGACCGAAUGCGGUGUGUACGUUAAAUACCGUUCACAGCUUUUUUAGUUGCUUCUCUUGUUAAGUUUCUGAACCAACCGAAAUCCACAAAUACAAACAGUUUCUCCGUCGCUAAUU